UACGUAGGUGACAAGCGUUGUCCGGAUUUACUGGGCGUAAAGAGCGCGCAGGCGGUCGAUCAAGUCGAGUGUGAAAGCCCCCCGGCUCAACUGGGGAGGGUCAUUCGAUACUGAUCGACUCGAAGGCAGGAGAGGGUAGUGGAAUUCCCGGUGUAGUGGUGAAAUGCGUAGAUAUCGGGAGGAACACCAGUGGCGAAGGCGACUACCUGGCCUGUUCUUGACGCUGAGGCACGAAAGCGUGGGGAGCAAACAGG
rnacentral:rRNA from 1 species